GAUGAACGCUGGCGGCGUGCUUAACACAUGCAAGUCGAACGAAUCUUCGGGUUAGUGGCGGACGGGUGAGUAACGCGUGAGAAUCUGCCCUCAGGAGGGGGAUAACGGCUGGAAACGGCCGCUAAUACCCCAUAUGCCGCGAGGUGAAAUGAAUUUCGCCUGAGGAUGAGCUCGCGUCUGAUUAGCUAGUUGGUGUAGGUAAUGGCUCACCAAGGCAUCGAUCAGUAGCUGGUCUGAGAGGAUGAUCAGCCACACUGGGACUGAGACACGGCCCAGACUCCUACGGGAGGCAGCAGUGGGGAAUUUUCCGCAAUGGGCGAAAGCCUGACGGAGCAACGCCGCGUGAGGGAUGAAGGCCUCUGGGCUGUAAACCUCUUUUAUCAAGGAAGAAGAUCUGACGGUACUUGAUGAAUAAGCCACGGCUAAUUCCGUG
rnacentral:rRNA from 1 species